GACGAACGCUGGCGGCGUGCCUAAUACAUGCAAGUAGAACGCUGAAGGAGGAGCUUGCUCUUCUGGAUGAGUUGCGAACGGGUGAGUAACGCGUAGGUAACCUGCCUGGUAGCGGGGGAUAACUAUUGGAAACGAUAGCUAAUACCGCAUAAGAGUAGAUGUUGCAUGACAUUUACUUAAAAGGUGCAAUUGCAUCACUACCAGAUGGACCUGCGUUGUAUUAGCUAGUUGGUGGGGUAACGGCUUACCAAGGCGACGAUACAUAGCCGACCUGAGAGGGUGCUCGGCCACACUGGGACUGGGACACGGCCCAGACGCCUACGGGAGGGAGCAGUAGGGAAUCUUCGGCAAUGGACGGAAGUCUGACCGAGCAACGCCGCGUGAGUGAAGAAGGUUUUCGGAUCGUAAAGCUCUGUUGUAAGAGAAGAACGAGUGUGAGAGUGGAAAGUUCACACUGUGACGGUAUCUUACCAGAAAGGGACGGCUAACUACGUG
rnacentral:rRNA from 1 species